rnacentral:rRNA from 5 species
GAAGUUUUUUUAAUUUGUGCAGAAACAAUUAUUUACAUUAAGGACAAGAAGACCCUACGAAUUUAUUAAAUUUUUAGUUAAUAUGUAAUUACUAUUAUAAAAAUUUUGGCUGGGGCGGCUAAAAAAUAUUAUAAACUUUUUGAUAAUAAAAUGAUCCAUUAUUAAUGAUUUUAUGCUAAAUACUCUAGGGAUAACAGCGUUAUAUUUUUUGAUAGAUCAUAUUGACAAAAAAGUUUGCGACCUCGAUGUUGGAU